CGCAGGCUCCACGCACCGGGAGCCCGACGUGGGAUUCGAUCCCGGGUCUCCAGGAUCGCGCCCUGGGCCAAAGGCAGGCGCCAAACUGCUGCGCCACCCAGGGAUCCCCAAAAGUUAGCAAAUUUAAGAAUAAAAUCGUAAUAAGUAUCUUUUCUAACCACAACGCAAUGCUAUUAGAUACCAAAAGCAAAGGAAAAACUGGAAAAUCCACAAAUUCAUGAAAAUUAAAGAGAACACUCUUGAAUAACCAGUGGGUCAAAAAGCAAAAAAGAAAUGAGAAAAUAUGUUGAGACAAAUGAAAAUACAAUAUAUCAAGAUUUAUGGAUACAACAAAAGCAGUACAAGCAAAGAACACCCACAUUAAAGAAAAAGAUUUCAAAUAAACAACCUAACUUUAUAUCUCAAGGAAUUAGCUCAACAACCCUAUGUGUAAAAUUAGCAAAGGAAGGGAAUAAUAAACAUUAAACCAGAAAUAAAGGAAAUAGAGAACAGAAAAUUUUUAAAAAUCAAAAUAUUUUUAGAUUAACAAAAUUGACUUUUUUUUGCUAGACUAAGCAAGAGAUUAGACUCAAAUAAAUAAAUAUUUAAUAGAUAAUAGAUAUUAAAGAGACAUUACAACUGAUACCAAAGAAAAUACGAAGGAUGAAAGACUACUAUAAACAAAUUAUAGAGUAACAAAUUGGACAAUUUAGAAGAAGUAGAUAAAUUCCUAGAAACAUACAAACUGAAUCAUGAGAAGAAAUAGAAAAUACAAACAGAUCAAUAAUGAGUAAGGAGAUUAAUUCAGGAAUCAGGAAUCUUCUGACGACAAAAACCCGAGGACCGGAUGGUUUGAUUGGUGUCAUUCUACCAAAUACUUAAAGAAGAAUUAGUGCCAAUCCUUCUCAAACUCUUUCAAAAAACUGAGGAGGAGCAAAUACAUCCAAACUCAAUUUAUGAGGACAGCAUUACCCUGAUAACCAAGUGGGACAAAGUCAGUACAAGAAAAUUAUGGCCAAUAUCCCUUAAUGAACACAGAUGCAAAUAUCUUCAACAACAUACUAGCAAACCAAAUUUAAAAGCACAUUAAAAGGAUCAUACACUAUGACCAAGUAGGAUUUACCCCUGGAAUGCAAAGAUGGCUCAUAAUACAAAAAUCAAUUACUAAGGACAUCCCAUAUUAAGAGUGAACGAUAAAAAUCAUGUGAUCAUCUCAACAGAUGCAAAAAAAAGCACUUGAUAAAAUUUGACACUAUUUCAUAUAAAAACUCUCACCAUAGAUAUCAAAGGGAAUUACCUCAACUUAUAAAGGCCAUAUAUAAAAAGCCGUAUCUAACAUCAUCCUCAACAGUAAGAAGUUGAAAGCUUUUCCUCUAAAAUCAGGAACAAGGCAAGGAUUCUUACUCUUGCCACUUCUAUUCAACAUAGUCUUGGAAUAGUAAAACAAUCCUAAAAUUCACAUGGAACCAGAAAUGACCACAGAUAUAAAAAAAAAAUCUUAAGAAAGAAGAAUAGAAUUGAAGUUAUCACUCUAUGAUUUCAAAAUAUGUCUACAUGAAAACAAAUAAAACUGGACCCUUAUCUCAUGCCAUAUGGAAUAAUCAACUCAAAACAUAUUAAAGAUAUAAGACCUAAAACUGUUACAACUCCUGAAAGAUAACCUAAGGAAGAAGUCUGAUAUUAGGCUUGGCAAUAACUUCUUGGAUAUGACAUCAAAAUUACAGGCAACAAAAGUAAAAACAGACACAUAGGAGUAUACCAAACUAAAAAUCUUCUGAACAAUAAAGGAAAACACCAACAGGGUGAAAGGCAACCUACAGAAUGGGAAAAAAAUAUCUGUAAACCAUAUAUUUGAUACGAGCUUAAUAUCCAAAAUAUAUAAGGAGAUCUUAAGAACUUAGGGGAGCCCCCUUAAUAUAAAUGAAAUUUUAAAUCCUGUUUUUACUUAGUAUUAUAUGGUAAUCAUGUUUUUACCUUAUUCUUCGAAAAUAGUUUCUAAUGGCUCCAUAAUUUUGUUCCACCUUGCCAAAUUUUCUUCACUUUCACAGCAAUGUAUGAUGAUACCAUCUUAUCACCAUCACUAAAUACAGUAUUUUCUUUUUAAAAGUAGUCAAUCUCUGUAAAAUAUUUUCUUAUAUGGCUGACUAAUCUUAUAUUUACAUUUUAUUUUUGCAUUUGUUUCAUUUCCAAGUGUCUCCGUCAGUUUGAGCUGUUACAAUAAAAUAGUAUAGACUGGAUGGCUUAGAAAACAUUUAUUUCUCCCAGUUCUGGAGUCUAGGAAGUCUAAGAUCAAAUUGCCAGCAGAUCUGGUGUCCAAUGAAGGCCCACUUCCUGGUUUGUAGAUAGCCACCUGACCUUUGCGUACAAAGACACUAGUUCUAUCAUAUGGGCUCUAUCUUCAUGACUUCAUCCAAACCUAAUUACCUCCCAAAGGUCCCACCUCCAUAUACCAUCACAUUUGAGUUAAUAAUUAAUUUAACAUAAUGAAUUUUAGGGGGAAAAAAAGAUUCAAUCAAUCUAUGAACUAAGUGAAUUAGAGUUUCUUAGAACUGCUAUAACCACAACUGCUUGGAAUAAAACAACAAAAAUUGUUCUCUCAUAGUUCUGGGGGCCAGACAUCCAAAAAUAAGUUUUGAUUUUUAGGCCAAAAUCAAGGUAUCAAUAGGGUCAUGCAUCCAUUAGUGGUUCUAGUAUAGAAUCCUUUCUUUGCUUCUUCAAACUUUUGGUGAUUCCAGGCAUUCCUUGGUUUUUGACAUCACUCCAAUCUCUGCCUCCCUGGUCACAUUUCCUCAUUAUCUUCUGUCUCAAAAACUCCCUCUGCUUUUCUCUUAUAAGGAUAAAUAUGAUUGCAUUAGGGUCCUCCCAGAUAAUCCAGUAUAAAGAUUUAAAAUCCUUAUUUAUUUUGCCAUAUAAGGUAAUAUUCAUUCUUACUAUAUAAGGUGACAAAUGAGAUGUUUGUGCUCAUUUUCUUCCUGUUGCAUCUCAGACAAAUGCCAUAAAGUUGCAAAUUUUAAGCUUCAGGCAGCCCCGGUGGCCCAGCGGUUUAGCGCUGCCUACAGCCUAGGGCAUGAUCCUGGAGACCCAGGAUCAAGUCCCAUGUUGGGCUCCCUGCAUGGAGCCUGCUUCUCCCUCUGCCUGUGUCUCUGACUCUCUCUCUCUCUCUGCCUCUCAUGAAUAAAUAAAUAAAAUCUUUUAAAAAAAAUUUUAAGCUUCAGCCCUGAGGUACUUCCAGAGACACAAUUUAAAAAACAUUACCAAACAAUGGAUAUCAAGAAAAUGAAAUUCCCUCUUACAGGAGAAUUAUCUAAAGCAUCAAAGUUAAAAAUGCAGUAUUAAAGUAAGUAGUAGAUUUUUACCUCAUCCAAACAUCCCUUUAAAAGAAUAACAACUCAUUGCUUUUCUAUAAAAUGAUAAAUCUUUUCCUACAUUUGGGAAUGUUUCUACAAUAUAAAGUAUCUUUUUUUUAAACUCAGUUUAGUAACACACACACACUCUCUCUCUCUCUCUCUCUCUCUCUCUUCUACAUAAGCCUAUGCAUGAAGAACACAUAUUAUUUAGUCUACUCUAGAGGCAAAAGUUUGGAUUUUGCUGCAACCCAAAGCUAUUACACUAAGAGUUAUGAGUACAAAGUAAUGAGACUACAUUUUUCUUUAAUAUAUAAUUUCAUACUUUACAUAUAGAUGAGUGCUGAACCCAUUAGGGUAGGCAAUUUGGGAAAUAUAUACUUACUCAUAAUUUGCAACUUCUCAAACUGUAUUUGUAAUUUUUCUUUUAGAAAUGUCUUCUGUAUCAGUUUAUUACACACCAAAAAAGUCUUAUUUUUAAUAGCCAUACUUUCUUUUAAAAGUAUCAGUUUAGCAUUCCUAAACUCACUCCUAAUUAUUAUUCACUGAACUUGUGAUAAUUAUGUCUUAGUUUUAAAAAGCAAGCUCACCUCAUGUGGGAUGUUUUUUGAUAUUAUUAAAAUUAUUUUAAAAGAAUAAUGCUAGUACUCUGUAAUCUGUAACCAAUUUUGUCAAGCAGAUAUGUUGGUCAAACUGGAGUCAUUUACCACAGUCUAGCUCUCCAGUUCCCUUUGUGCAGUCCAUCUCCAUGUCAUCUAUGACCCAGAAGACCACCUGUAAAUGUUACUUGAUUUAAAGACACCACAUUACUUUACCACUGUGGCCAAAUCAAACCAGGUAGAAGACAAUAAUCUCACUUUGCCAUGAUGGAGGAGAGCUUCAGGUUUAUCAGAAUUGGAUUCAACUCUUGAGAGAAGUCUUACUGAGAAAUUCUGGAUAUACCUACUGAAGCCACACAUAAACUAGUUGUUCUAAAUAAUGGACUACAAAGGGGUUAACAUGAGUCAUCAGGUAUGGGGCCAGAUCAAACUUACCAUAUACGGUGAAAGGCUCUUCUGAUAGGUAGAUCAAUAUCCUUAAUUUAACCCAGUAUCCAUUUAAUGUCCCUGUUUCCCUGGAAGUGAUGUGGGGUACAACCAGCACAACACAGGUUUACCUAUAGAUAUUUUCUGCUAGUUCUCCCACAGGACCUACAUAACUCUUGGCUAGUGCUUUCAAGUUUUAAAUAAUUUUAAGUGUUUAGUUUCUAUACAUCUAACAAAUUAAAAUCAUGUUCUUUGUUUGGCUGCUAACUCAGGGAUCCAUACUUAGUUUUAUAAACUUUUCUUGUUCUUUUUUUUUAAGUUUUUAAAAAUUUUUUUAGUUAUCUCUACACCUAACACGGGGCUUGAACUCAUGACCAAGAUUAAGAGUCUCAUGCUCCUCUAACAGCCAGCCAGGAGUCUCCUUUUCUUUUUAGUCUAGUCUUCUUUAGCUCAUGAAUUUUGUUUGUCAAUAAGAAAUAUUAAAGCAGAAUGUCAUAACACUUCAAUCUAGUUAUGUUAAUGUCAAGAAUUUUAAAAUUAGGGACACCUGGGUGGCUCAGUGCUUGAGCAUCUGCCUUUAGCUCAAGGAGUGAUCCCAGUAUCCUGGGAUCGAGUCCCACACUGGGCUCCCUGCAGGAAGCCUUCUUUUCCCUCUGCCUAUGUCUCUGCCUCUCUCUCUCUCUCUCUCUCUCUGUGUCUCUCAUGAAUGAAUAAAAUCUUAAAAAAAUUUUUUUAAAUUAAAAAAUGUAUUUGUUAAGUGAAUAACAAGUUCCUAGAGAUAUUUUCAAAAACAGUUUUAAACCAAGAAUAAAUUCUUCACAGGUGGCUUCCAAUCGCCUGUGUAACAUGUAUGUUGAUAUUUAUAGUCUAAUGAAUAUAGGUCAGAAGCAUGAAGAAAUGAAGCAGCACUUUUUAAAAAAUAAUAAAUAAAAAUCAGCUUUUAUAGUGACACAGAUUCUUAAGGAUUUAUCAGGAGAAUAGACAUACACUAAUUACAAAGUAGUAAUACAUUUCAUUAGAAGUUAAAUAAACUGAUAUGCCUAACAAUUCAUAUGCCUCUUAGAGACAUUUUAGUAGAAAUGAAAUCAGGCUAUUUCACAGACUGUCAUAGUCAUGGGAAAGGAAAAAUUUUUUGUCAUGAAUGAUCUUGCAGGUUAUGUUGGUUAUUAACUAUUGCCUCUCAGCUCCAAAUUCAUCCUUUUGGCCUGCUCUGAAAAUGGAUCUGAGUCCUUAAACAGAUUUUCUUUGACAACUGCAGCAUGUAAAGUUUUGUCAAGAGAGGGCACUGGAGAGACACACUAGAGAGGGCAGGAGGGAAGGGUUCUGUUCCCUCCUGGCUUCCCCAGGGCCCAGCUCCUGCAAUUGUAGAGAGGUCAGCUGACCCAGCAGCUUCCCCAGCACCAGCUUUGGGUGAUUUUAUAGUGGAGUGCCUCUAAUAAGAUGCAUCUUCAGCAAGCUCCAGGGGGGUGGAUUUCGGGUAAGUUCCAUCAACAAGACACUACACUGACUUUUCUGCACUGAGAGACACAGCCAGGUCCUCUGCAACAAACUCUGAAGUCAGUCCCAAGGGGCCCCUUCUUUGGGUACUCUAUCUCAGCCUUAGGGAAGUGGCUGUUAAGUUCAUGUUAUACCUGCUCUUCUUGUAUUCUACAGAGUUCUCUUUACCUCUUUAUCAAUCUCUCACCUCCUAUUCCCUGUCAUAUUUAUAGUCCUUUAUAUUAAACUUCACCUGUUAAAAUGACCAUGUGGUUCCUCUCUCCUGACUUGGCCAAGAUUUUUCCAGCAACAGAAAGCACUGUUUUCUUAUUCUUCUUUGUAUACUUCAGAAUAAAUAUGCUCACUAACAACAAUACUGAUAGAAAAUAAAAAGACCAAAAAAAAAAAAAAAAAAAAAAACCCAAAACAAAACAGAAAAAAGCUUUUCUGCUAAAAAAUAUUUUGCUUACCUAAUCCUAUAGGGACUUUCACUCCCAUAUGAAAAACCAGAGAAAAAUAAGUGAGAAUGUUUCCUCAUUUAUUAUUAUUCAUCUACAGGAGAAAAAAAAUCCAGUUGAAAAUACUAAAAAUGUGAAUCCAAAGCUUUUGUGAAAAAAGAAAACUUGUCUGAUUUGUGCAUAGCAGAGAAAUAAACAAUCAAGUCAAUUUUACAAAUCACUAGAAAUGAAAAGAAAAAAGGAAAGAUCUCAACUGAUGGAUGGAUGAACCUCAGAUAACAUUUCAUUAUCUAUUGUCUUAAUAUAAAUAAAAAAUACAAACAUUUAUGUAAUAGGACAAAUACAAAGGAGAAAGCAUAAAUAAAAAGGGGAAGAAAAUAUUUUCACAACUUUUAAAUGGGCUGACAUAGACAGCUGCCACCAAACAACCUUAUAAGCAAUUUAAAUUAUGAAAAAAGUUAAUUUUUAUAUUUUAAUCUUUAUAACUACUUAAAACAACUUUCUCAUUCAAUAUAAAAACUGUGCAGAACUUAAAAAGUUAUAAAGCUCUCUUUAGAAGUUCUUAUAUAGAGAUAAUAAUGACAAUAAAAAUAUCCUCCUAUAAUGAACUAUAAGAGAAAUUAAGAAAACAAUCUUAUUUACAAUUGAGUCAAAAAGAAUACUUAGGUAUAAAUUUAACCAAGGAGGUGAAAUAUUUGUAUACUGAAAACUGUAAGACAUUGAUGAAAGAAAUUAAAGACAUAAAUACAUGGAUAUUCUAUGUUCAUGGACUGGAAGAAUAUUGUUAAAAUGUUAAAAAUGUCCAUAUCAUCCACAGUGAUCUACUGAUUCAAUGCAAUCCCUAGCAAAAUACCAAUGGCAUUGUCUACAGAAAUAGAACAAUCCUAAAAAUUAGUAUGAAACCACAAAGGACCCCAAAUAGCCCAAGUAAUAUUGAUAAAGAAUAAAGCUGGAGACAUUAGGCUCCCUGAUUUCAAACUAUAUUACAAAGCUUCAGUAAUCAGAACAAUAUAGUACUGGCAUAAAAACAGAUGAUCAAUGGAAAAGAAUGGAAAGCCCAGAAAUAAACCUGUGCAUAUAUCAUCAAUUAUUUUAUGACAAAGGAGUCAAGACUGUAUAAUGGAGAAAGGAUAGUCCCUUCAAUAAAUGGUGUUGGGAAAACUAGACAGCCACAUGCAAAAGAAUAUCCUACACCAUACACCAAAAAAUAACUUAAAAUAGAUUAGGAGCUUGUUUGGAAGACUUAAAACCAUAAAACUCCUACAAGAAAACAUAGGCUAUUAGCUCCUUGACAUUGGUUCUACAGAUGAUUUUUUUAGAUCUGACUCUAAAAAUAAAGGCAAAAACAGCAAAAACAAACAAGUAGACUAGCUCAAACUAAACAGUUUCUGCAAACCAAACUAUCAGCAAAAUGAAAAGGCAACCUACUGAAUAUGAGAUAAUAUCUGUCAAUCGUAUAUCUGUUAAGGGGUUAAUAUCUAAAAUAUAUUUAAAAAUGCAUAACUCAAUAGCACAGAUCUUCUUCCAAAGACAUACAGAUGGCCAAAAGAAGACAUACAGAUAGCCGACAUGAAAAGACACUCAGUAUCACCAAUCAUCAGAGUAUUACAAAUCAAUGAGCUAUCUAUCACCUCAUACAUGUUAGAAUGGCUAAAAAGACAAGAAAUAACAAUUGUUAGCAAGGAUCUGGAGAAAAGGGAACCCCUGUGCACUGCUGCUAGGAAUAUAAAUUCAUGCAGCCACUACGGGAAACAGUGUAAGUGUUCCUCAAAAAAUUAAAAUUGUAAUUACCGUAUGAUUCAAUAAUACCAUUUCUGGAUAUUUAUCCAAAGAAAACAAAAACACUAACUAAAAAAGAUACAUGCACUUACGUGUCACUGCAGUUAUUACUUAUGAUAGGCCAGAUAUGGAAACAACCUAACUGCUCUCCAUCAAUGGAUGAAUGGAUAAAGAAAAUGUGACACACACACACACACACCCCCCCUAUGUGACAUAUGUGUAAUAGAAUACAGUUCAGCCAUAAAAAAGAAUGAAAUCUUGCUAUUUGCAGCAACAUGGAUGGACCUUGAGGGCAUUAUGUUAAGUGAAAUACAUUAAAGAAAGACAAAUACUGUAUGAUUUCACUCAUAUAUGGAAUUUAAAACAACAGCAAGGAAAAAACCAAGCUCACAGAUACACAGAAAAGACAGGUAGCUGCCAGAGGUAGGAGGUAGGGUGUGAGUGGAUGAAAUGGGCAAAAGAGGUCAAAAGGUAUAAACUUCUGGGUAUAAUAUAAUUAAGUUAUGGGAUGUAGUGUACAACAUCAUGCCGACAGUUACUAAUAUUGCAUUGCAUAUUUGACAGCGGCUAAGGCAGUAGAUCUUAAAAGUUCAUCACAAGAAAACAAAUUUUUUUAACUAUGUUACAGGAACAGAUGUUAACCAAACUUACUGUGGUA
rnacentral:lncRNA from 1 species